rnacentral:rRNA from 1 species
GUCCACGCCGUAAACGAUGUCAACUAGUUGUUGGGUUCCUUGAGGACUUAGUAACGCAGCUAACGCAUUAAGUUGACCGCCUGGGGAGUACGGCCGCAAGGUUAAAACUCAAAUGAAUUGACGGGGCCCGCACAAGCGGUGGAGCAUGUGGUUUAAUUCGAAGCAACGCGAAGAACCUUACCUGGCCUUGACAUGCUGAGAACUUUCCAGAGAUGGAUUGGUGCCUUCGGGAACUCAGACACAGGUGCUGCAUGGCUGUCGU